rnacentral:rRNA from 1 species
UACAGAGGUCUCAAGCGUUUGUUCGGAUUCAUUGGGCGUAAAGGGUGCGUAGGCGGCGCGGUAAGUCGGGUGUGAAAUCUCGGGGCUUAACUCCGAAACUGCAUUCGAUACUGCCGUGCUUGAGGACUGGAGAGGAGACUGGAAUUUACGGUGUAGCGGUGAAAUGCGUAGAUAUCGUAAGGAAGACCAGUGGCGAAGGCGGUCGUCUGGACGUACUGACGCUGAGAC